GAUGAACGCUGGCGGCGUGCUUAACACAUGCAAGUCGAACGAACCUUCGGGUUAGUGGCGGACGGGUGAGUAACGCGUGGGAAUCUGCCCUCAGGAGGGGGAUAACGGUUGGAAACGGCCGCUAAUACCCCAUAUGCCGAGAGGUGAAAUGAAUUUCGCCUGAGGAUGAGCCCGCGUCUGAUUAGCUAGUUGGUGAGGUAAUGGCUCACCAAGGCAUCGAUCAGUAGCUGGUCUGAGAGGAUGAUCAGCCACACUGGGACUGAGACACGGCCCAGACUCCUACGGGAGGCAGCAGUGGGGAAUUUUCCGCAAUGGGCGCAAGCCUGACGGAGCAACGCCGCGUGAGGGAUGAAGGCCUCUGGGCUGUAAACCUCUUUUCUCAAGGAAGAAGAUCUGACGGUACUUGAGGAAUAAGCCACGGCUAAUUCCGUGCCAGCAGCCGCGGUAAUACGGGAGUGGCAAGCGUUAUCCGGAAUUAUUGGGCGUAAAGCGUCCGCAGGCGGCUUUUCAAGUCUGCUGUUAAAACGUGGAGCUUAACUCCAUCAAGGCAGUGGAAACUGAUUGGCUUGAGUGUGGUAGGGGCAGAGGGAAUUCCCGGUGUAGCGGUGAAAUGCGUAGAUAUCGGGAAGAACACCAGUGGCGAAGGCGCUCUGCUGGGCCAUAACUGACGCUCAUGGACGAAAGCCAGGGGAGCGAAAGGGAUUAGAUACCCCUGUAGUCCUGGCCGUAAACGAUGAACACUAGGUGUCGGGGGAAUCGACCCCCUCGGUGUCGUAGCCAACGCGUUAAGUGUUCCGCCUGGGGAGUACGCACGCAAGUGUGAAACUCAAAGGAAUUGACGGGGGCCCGCACAAGCGGUGGAGUAUGUGGUUUAAUUCGAUGCAACGCGAAGAACCUUACCAGGGUUUGACAUCCUGCGAAUCUCUUGGAAACGAGAGAGUGCCUUUGGGAACGCAGUGACAGGUGGUGCAUGGCUGUCGUCAGCUCGUGUCGUGAGAUGUUGGGUUAAGUCCCGCAACGAGCGCAACCCACGUUUUUAGUUGCCAGCAUUCAGUUGGGCACUCUAGAGAGACCGCCGGUGAUAAACCGGAGGAAGGUGUGGAUGACGUCAAGUCAUCAUGCCCCUUACAUCCUGGGCUACACACGUACUACAAUGCUACGGACAAAGGGCAGCAAGUUCGCGAGGACAAGCAAAUCCCAUAAACCGUGGCUCAGUUCAGAUCGUAGGCUGCAACUCGCCUACGUGAAGAAGGAAUCGCUAGUAAUCGCAGGUCAGCAUACUGCGGUGAAUACGUUCCCGGGCCUUGUACACACCGCCCGUCACACCAUGGAAGUUGGCCACGCCCGAAGUCGUUACUCCAACCCUUGUGGAGGAGGACGCCGAAGGUGGGGCUGAUGACU
rnacentral:rRNA from 1 species